AUUGAACGCUGGCGGCAUGCCUUACACAUGCAAGUCGAACGGUAACAGGUCUUCGGAUGCUGACGAGUGGCGAACGGGUGAGUAAUACAUCGGAACGUGCCUAGUAGUGGGGGAUAACUACUCGAAAGAGUGGCUAAUACCGCAUGAGAUCUACGGAUGAAAGCAGGGGAUCGCAAGACCUUGUGCUACUAGAGCGGCCGAUGGCAGAUUAGGUAGUUGGUGGGAUAAAAGCUUACCAAGCCGACGAUCUGUAGCUGGUCUGAGAGGACGAUCGGCCACACUGGGACUGAGACACGGCCCAGACUCCUACGGGAGGCAGCAGUGGGGAAGUUUGGACAAUGGGCGCAAGCCUGAUCCAGCAAUGCCGCGUGCAGGAUGAAGGCCUUCGGGUUGUAAACUGCUUUUGUACGGAACGAAAAGCCCCGGGUUAAUACCCUGGGGUCAUGACGGUACCGUAAGAAUAAGCACCGGCUAACUACGUGCCAGCCGCCGCCGUAA
rnacentral:rRNA from 1 species